AAUUAAUAAAAUUGUUAUAUAAAUUUAUAUAUAAUAUUAAAUUUUAAAUUAAAUAAAUUAAUGUUUUUGUAGAAUUAAUUGAUAAAAUUUUAUUACUAUAGUAGAUUAGUACUGUGAAGGAAAUAUUAAAUUAUUUUUAUAAUUAAUUAUAGGUAAUUUUGUUUAUUGUAUCUUGUGUAUCMGAGUAUAUUGAAAUGAAUUAUAAAUUUUUUUUCUUCUCGAAUUUAAAAGAUUUAAUUGGGAAUAUUAGUUAUUGUGUUAUAAAUAUUAAUAAUUUUUAAUUGGAGAUGAAAUGUUAUUCGUUUUUAAGGAUAUCUAGUUUUUUAAUAAACGAAUUUAAUUCGAAGGAUGUUAAGUUAUUAGAUAAAUUUAUAUUUAAAUAUUUUAUGUUCUUAAUUUUAAAGGGGAAGAGCUCUUUAAAAUAUAAUUAUAAUAGAAUAAAUAUAAUGAGGAUUUUAUGAAUUUAGAAUUUGUUAUUAGUUGAAGGAUGUUAAAAUUUAAUUCUUAUUUUUGUUUAAUUUUUAAUUUUUGUUUAAUUUUUAUAUUAAAAUUUCAGGCUUAAUUAAGAAGUUUUAGAAAAUAUGAUUUAAUUAGUAAAGUUUUAAAAAUAUAAUAUUUAUGAAUUGUAUAUUUAAUAUAAAGAAUUAGGCAAAUAUUUUGCUCGCCUGUUUAUUAAAAACAUGGUUUCUUGAAAUUAUUUAGGAAAUUUAACCUGCCCACUGAAUAAUAAUUUUGAAGGGCCGCAGUAUUUUGACUGUGCAAAGGUAGCAUAAUCAUUAGUCUUUUAAUUGAAGGCUGGUAUGAAUGGUUGGACGAGGCAAAUUCUGUUUUAUAUUAAUUAGAAUCGAAUUUAAAUUUUAAGUAAAAAGGCUUAAAUGUUAUUAAGGGACGAGAAGACCCUAUAGAGUUUAAUAUAUAAAGUAAUUAAUUGGGUUAAAAAGUUAAAUUUUUAGUUUUUAUGAAAUUUAUUUAAUUGGGGUGAUUAGAAGAAUAUAAUAAACUCUUCUUUAAGUUUAAUAAAUUUAUUAGUUGAGUGAUCCAUAUUUAAUGAUUAAAAGAUUAAAUUACCUUAGGGAUAACAGCAUAAUUCUUUUUAAGAGUUCAUAUCGAAAAAAGAGAUUGUGACCUCGAUGUUGGAUUAAGAUUAGUUAUAGGUGCAGAUGUUUAAUAAUUAGGUCUGUUCGACCUUGAAAAUCUUACAUGAUCUGAGUUUAAACCGGCGUGAGCCAGGUUGGUUUCUAUCUUUAAUUAAUUUGCAUAUUUUAGUACGAAAGGACCAAAUAUUCAAAAUAAUUUUUUUAUAAUCUGAAUAUUAUUAAUUAA
rnacentral:rRNA from 1 species